GUUUGUAUCGUCUCACUUCUUCCCCCCCAUUAAUAAUCCCUGUUACUUGCUUUACUGAUCAAGUUGCGGCGCUGCCGGUUUAAACCCGCGGCGAGGCUGUCCUAAUUUAAAGGGACAUUUCUCCGAGCGUUGGAAGAUGUUAAGGAAGGGACACAAGAGACUGCAGAUGCUGGAAUCUGGACCAAACAAUAAACUACUGGAGGAGCUCAGCUAGUCAGGCAGUGUCUGUGGAGAUGCUGCUUGACCAGCCGAGUUCUUUUUAAGCUAACUGGCCCACAGUUCCACAGAUUAGCUCAAGAAAGGACGCCAUUGGCCGCUCCCCUCUGUCUCAUUUGCAGGAUGGCACCUCCAGCAAUGCAGCUGUCCCCAGGAUCACAUAACCUUGUGUCCAACUCCUUGAACUUUCUGGGAAUGCAGAACAACUUGAAGGAGGAAUAUAAGCUUCCCAUUUGUGGAAAAGAACUUUCUCAGCAGUCGCAGCUAACCUCUUGUACACAGCAAGAGAAUGAGAGAAGGAAAAUCAUCACCGUUGUGAAAGUUGUUUUCCUCCUCUCUCCCCUUUCACCAUCAAAUUUCCAGGUCUCUUUGGGAUCUUCCGAAGGAAGACUCCACAGUGUCAGACGUUCGGGAUGUUCCUACCUUUUCCUCACCUAUUGAGGGACCAUUAUUUCUAUUCCAUGGUUAAACUAGCGCAGAAUGUGAGUCAGAUAGUGGCCAAGGUCAUGGAGUCACAAGAACUAAUGACCCAGGGACUGCCAAGUGCACAGAAAGACCUGGAGUCUUCCAAUAGAUGACAAUCGGCAAGUCAGGCAAAUUCCUCCACCCAGCCUUCAAAUCUCAAUAGAUUCAGCCUCACUUGGGGGAGUGCAACAUUCUGCAAUCUAAUGUCCACACAAAAAGUACAGAAGUCUUUUACCCAGCCUGAGAGAAUGUGUUAAUGAACAAGAGAGACAUUGGCCAGUACCAUUGACUUAAUUAAGUUUGAGGUAGUGUUGCAACAUCAUGAUACCAGCAUAAACAUUAAUCCUGUGGAAGACCAACCCUACAGUUGUGGUGGAUAAUGGUCACCAGCUAAAGUGACUCAAUUCCAAUCAUUUAAUUGGUUUCCGCCGCAAACUGAAGGGAGGAAAUGGACACUUUCUUUGAGCUAGUGAUUAACAUUGCAAAGGUGCACACACAUGACUUGUUGCUGGGUACUCUGAAAUAAUUGUCUUGUAAAGGGAACUCUGCUUCCUCGGGUUGGAGGGUCGAGAAUCGAGAGGAGGUGGCCUCAGAAUAAGCAAUUAGGACCGAGAUCAGUAGAAAUUACUUUAGGGUUGUAAAUCUUUGGAAUUCUCUUCUGCAUACACCAAUGGAUGCUCGGUCAUUGAGUGUAUUCAAGCCUAAUAUCGAUAGAUAUUUGGACAUUAAGGGAAACAGAUGAUAUUGGGAAAUGGGGUGGAGAAGGGGAUGUGAGGUUUAACCAUGAUCUUACUGAAUGGUGGAGCAGACUCAGGCUCCCCUUCUGAUUCUAUUUAUAAUUGUUAUUAAUGGAAACGUUGAGCCCAAGUGGAAGACAAAAAAUAUAUUGUACCAAUUAAGAAUUAUUUUCGAUCAUUUGAUCUCCAUACCAGUUCAAACCAUAUCCAAAAUAUUAGUCAGAUGGCCCUUUUGUUAGGAACAAGCACUUCACUUGCAACUAAAACUGGAGCCAAUUCCCAUUUCAUUCCUUGUAAAACCGGGGUCAUAAAAUAAAUGUUUUGUUUGUUUCUGUCCUAAUGCCUUCCAGUGUGUGCAUAGCAAGGUAACAAGUUUACUAAAUGAUUUACUCCUAAGCUGAUGGGAAACAGUCAUGUUGUAACAUGUUAGUGAUAAGAUUGCAAUUAUCAGCCCACUUGUUUCAAGAAAGUUGGAAAUGACUCCUCUUCUGUUUUCUAAAACCAAAUGUCGUAAGGAUGCCAGUAUUUUGUGGAUGAACACACUGUCCUUUUGCCUCUGGAUUCCAGGUUUGAAUCCAAUCAAAAACAAAUGAGAAGAAAAAUUCCUUCCAAUACAAUCUCUACAUUUCUCUCCUCUGCGUAGAGCACAGAAGUCAACCACAGUUCAACUUAAAUAAGGACCAAUUUGGAAAUCGUGUACAAUGGGAAAUAAAAAUGUUCAAUAUCAUGCCAAACUUAUUAGUCUUGAGGUGAAUGUCACAAAAAGAUUGUUAGGGCAGAAUAACAGUGACCAGUGUUCAUCUACCUCAGUGACCAGUUCUCUUUCCUGACACCAACCCACCAAACUCAACAAUGCCCCAGCAUUACAAAACAAAAUAUAGAAAAAAAUGUGUAAUAAAUAUUUGAUGGAUGUCCAAUCCUGUUUAAAUUUCCAGAUGUAACAAGAAAUUACAGUGAAAUAUAAAUCUUGCAGCUGGAUAUAUAUCCAUUGUUAGGCUUCUAGAUUAUGAUCCAGAGACAUUUAUUAUAAAUAUGAGAAUUAACUUAAUUAUUAGAAGUAUUUUACUGGUAUGCCUCAUCAAGGUAAAAGUUAUAAUUUUAUUAAUGUAUCUCUGGCCUGCCAUAAUACAAAUGUUUCUUGACUAAUAAACCUUCUUCCCUUCUCAUAUGAAUCAAUGCAGCUAUGGUUGUCGUCAUGCUGAAUCCUCCUCUCUUGCUCCUCCUAGGGGAAUGGUGAAAUAAUGGUUGUGUUAUUGGUUGGUAAUCCAGAGACCAGUGAACAUUUGGAGAAAUGGGUGCAGUUCUGGUCGCCACAUUACGGGAAGGAUUUUGAGGCUUUGGAAAAGGUGCAGAAGAAGUUUACCAGGAUCUCUACAGAACUCUGGUUAGGCUGCAUUUAGUGUAUUGCGUGCAAUUCUGGUCACCUCACUAUAGGAAGGAUGUCGAGGCUUUAGAUGUGCAGAGGAAGUUUACUAGGAUGCUGCCUGGAUUAGAGGGCAUGUGCUAUCAGGAGAGGCUGGACAAACUUGGCCUCUUUUCUCUAGAGCGGCGUAGGUUGAGGGGUGAUCUGUUGGGAGUGUAUAAAAUUAUGAGGGGCAUAGGUAGGGUGGACAAGCAAUAUCUCUUUCCCAUUAUUGAGCAAUCCAAUACCAGAGAGUAUGCAAUUAAGGUGAGAGGGGGUAGGUUCAGAAGAGAAGUGAGGGGUAUGUUUUUUACUGAGAGAGCGGUGGAUGCCUGGAAUGUGUUGCCUGAUAGGGUGGUGGAGGCAAAUUCACUGGGGGCUUUUAAGAGGGGCUUGGAUGGGCACAUGAAUGAGAGGAAAACGGAGGGAUAUGGGCGUUCUGUAGGUAGGAGGGAUUAGCUUUGUCGGCGCAAUAUUGUGGGCUGAAGGGCCUGUUCUGUGCUGUACUGUUCUGCGUUACCUGGAUUAGAGAGCGUGAGCUGCAAAGAGAGGUUGGACAAACUUGGACUGUUUUCUCUGGAGCGUCGGAGGCUGUGGGGAGAACUGAUAGAGGCUGAUAAAAUGAUGAGAGACAGAGGUCAGGUCGAUAGUCUUUUUCCCAGGUUGGAAAUGUCAAAUACUGGAGGGCACAGCUUUAAGGUGAGGCGGGGAAGUUUAAAGGAGAUUUACAAGGCAAUUUUUUUUUUCGCAGAGUGGUAGCUGCCUGGAACGCACUGCAAGGGGAGCUGAUGGAAGCAGAUAUGAUAGUAACAUUUAAGAGGCAUUUGGACAGGCACAUGAACAGGCAGGGACUGGAGGGAAGUUGACCAUGUGCAAGCUGACAGCAUGAGUUAGAUUGGCGGAAGGGCCUGUUCCUGUGCUCUGCUGGUCUAUGUUCUAGAACAUAGAACAUUACAGCAUAGUACAGGCCCUUCGGCCCACAAUGUUGUGCCGACAUUUUAUCCUGCUCUAAGAUCUAUCUAAUCCUUCCCUCCCACAUUGCCCUCCAUUUCUCUAUCAGUCAUGUGUCUAUCUAAGAGUCUCUUAAAUGUCCCUGAUGUAUCUGCCCCCACAACCUCUGCCGGCAGUGCGUUCAACGCACCCACCACUCUCUGUGUAAAAAAAACUUACCCCUGACAUCCCCCUUAUACCAUCCUCCAAUCACCUUAAAAUUAUGCCCCCUCGUGGUAGCCAUUUUCGCCCUAGGAAAAAAAUCUCUGACUGUCCGCUUGACCUAUGCCUCUUAUCAUCUUGCACACUAUGAAUUAAUUCUCUAGAGACAGAAGAUCAACUCCCACCAAAGCAUUUUAAAUUCAGUUAAAUAAAGCUGAAACCUGAAAAAGGUUGGAAAUAGUGACCAUGAAACUCACCAAUCGUUGUAAAGCCCAUCUAGUUCAUCAACGCCCUAUUCCUAACACACUCGGUCUGGCCUAUGUGUGACUCCAGACCUGUAGCGUUGUGGUUGGCUUUUAACUGCCCUCUGAAAUGACCCAGUAAUCCACUCAGUUCAAGGGCAAUUAGGA